rnacentral:rRNA from 1 species
AUGCAGCCGUCGGGUGAACGGGGGCCCAACACCAUCACUUUAUCAGCCAAGGCCCAGUGGUACUACAACCACGCGACGGGUGAACUCACUGGUUACUGCUACGCCUACGCCCACCACUCCGCUCCCUCUGCCGCCGCCGCCCAAACGGAAGGGAGCGAGGACGGCGACCGCCACCGCCACCGCCGCAGCCCGCGCCUCCAUUCCCAAACCCACGCGAGUGAUGAGGCCGUCGGAGUGGCCCGCUGCCACCCCCAGCUUCACGCCAGCGAGGAGGGAGCCCGUUCCCAGAUCCACGCGGAUGGCGAGGGCGCCGGAGCGAUCCGUCGCCGCGGAAUCUUCCCGGCGGCGCUGGCCUCGCCGAUCGAAGACGACGACCUCCUGAGGGAGAUCCUCCUCCGUCUUCCGCGGCAGCCCUCCUCGCUCCUCCGGGCCUCCGCCGCCUGCAAGCAGUGGCGAUGCGCCGCCACCGACCCCAAGUUCCUCCAUGGCUUCCGCCUCCACCACGGAAAGCCGCCCCUCCUUGGCCUCUUCCACCAGCGCACCUAUGAUGAUAUCGUCUUCACGCCCAUCCUGGACCAUCCCGACCGCAUGCCUCCUCAGCGCGUCGACCUCAAGCUCGGCGACUCCGGCAGCCGCACGAAGUUGCAAGUCUUACUGCUUGAUUGCCGUCACGGUCACGGUCGCGUCCUUCUCACGAACGAGCCGCUGGGAGACCAUGUCAUCAUGUGCGACCCCAUCAUCGGUGAGCAGCGCCGUGUGCAGGUUCCGCCAGAGUUCAUAGUAUGCUCCCAUGACAACUGGGCUGUGCUCUGCGCUGCCAGCGAUCAUGACCACGUGCACGGCAGCUGCCACUCGAGCCCCUUCAAGUUGGUGUUGAUCUCUCCACUGGGACCGGAGAACCGACUCGCCGCCUGUGUUUACUCCUCCGAGACUGGCAUAUGGAGCACUAUCAUCGUAUCGGCCAUUCCGUAUGAGAUUUUUUAUGUUGGUAUCUUUGGGUUGCUUGUUGGUAAUGCACUUUACUGGUUGCUGGAUCCUAUAAGCGAUGGCAUACUUGAGUUUGAUUUGGAUGAGCAAAGUCUAGCUGUGAUCAAGGGGCCUCUGGUUACAAAUGAUUUCAGCCAUGACAGUCCUUGGAUCAUCCAUGCUGAGGAUGGAGCUCGUGCCUUCGCCUAUUGUCUUACCAUCACUUGCAAUUGUGGCAGAGGAAUAUCAAUUGUCAUGGUGCUGCCACAUGGGUGCUACGGAACACCAUUGACAUGCGUGCCAUUCUUGGGCUCCCUCCCGAGAUUGAAGGAAGGAAGAAAGGUAUACUGGGAUGCGUUGAGGAUGCUGAUGAAAUACUUCUAUGGGUGGGCCAUGGUGUCUAUAUGGUUCAACUUAAGUCAAUGCAGUCUAGGAAACUUUGUGAAAUCAGUCAUUUUACCUACUGUCAUUCUUUCAAGAGUUUCUAUCCUCCAGGUGAUUGUUCAUCAACUUAAUCUUGUUGUGUUCUGUACAUGGAUGUUCGUAUAUCUUCAUUGCUAUUCUUAA